GCAAAUGUGCGUUACAAAAGAUUUCGAUGAUUUACAGAGAAUUUUCUGCAAUUUACAACAUUUAUCUUAUUCCGCAUUUUCCGCUGCGUUUCUUUCAUUCGAUGCCCAGAAACCAAAGAGAUUCCGUUGUUGAAAGUUUUUAGUUUAAUUAAUCUUGUUUAUUCAGACGUCUGCGUUUACUGACUGAGUUGAGUCCCUUUGCGGCCGGAGCCGCCAAAAGGCAAACAGAGGUACGUUCACAAAAGGUGGAGAGUCGAGCCGAAGCCGAAAACUCGGUAAUGAUUUUUCUUGGGUGAACCUGCGGAAGGAUCAUUACCGAGUUUUCGGGCUUCGGCUCGACUCUCCCACCCUUUGUGAACGUACCUCUGUUGCUUUGGCGGCUCCGGCCGCCAAAGGACCUCCAAACUCCAGUCAGUAAACGCAGACGUCUGAUAAACAAGUUAAUAAACUAAAACUUUCAACAACGGAUCUCUUGGUUCUGGCAUCGAUGAAGAACGCAGCGAAAUGCGAUAAGUAAUGUGAAUUGCAGAAUUCAGUGAAUCAUCGAAUCUUUGAACGCACAUUGCGCCCCUUGGUAUUCCGGGGGGCAUGCCUGUUCGAGCGUCAUUACAACCCUCAAGCUCUGCUUGGAAUUGGGCACCGUCCUCACUGCGGACGCGCCUCAAAGACCUCGGCGGUGGCUGUUCAGCCCUCAAGCGUAGUAGAAUACACCUCGCUUUGGAGUGGUUGGCGUCGCCCGCCGGACGAACCUUCUGAACUUUCUCAAGGUGAC
rnacentral:rRNA from 1 species